rnacentral:rRNA from 1 species
GGGGAAUAUUGGACAAUGGGCGAAAGCCUGAUCCAGCCAUGCCGCGUGUGUGAAGAAGGUCUUCGGAUUGUAAAGCACUUUAAGUUGGGAGGAAGGGCUGCAAGUUAAUACCUUGUAGUUUUGACGUUACCAGCAGAAUAAGCACCGGCUAACUACGUGCCAGCAGCCGCGGUAAUACGUAGGGUGCGAGCGUUAAUCGGAAUUACUGGGCGUAAAGCGUGCGCAGGCGGCUUUGCAAGACAGAGGUGAAAUCCCCGGGCACAACCUGGGAACUGCCUUUGUGACUGCAAGGCUAGAGUACGGCAGAGGGGGAUGGAAUUCCGCGUGUAGCAGUGAAAUGCGUAGAUAUGCGGAGGAACACCAAUGGCGAAGGCAAUCCCCUGGGCCUGUACUGACGCUCAUGCACGAAAGCGUGGGGAGCAAACA